rnacentral:rRNA from 1 species
AGUGAACGCUGGCGGCGUGCCUAAUACAUGCAAGUCGAACGGAGAUUAAGUAGCUUGCUAUUUAAUCUUAGUGGCGCACGGGUGAGUAAUAUAUAGCUAACUUGCCCAUUACUAAGGGACAACAGUUGGAAACGACUGCUAAUACCUUAUACUCCGUAUCUAUAUAAGUAGAUACGGGAAAGUUUUUCGGUAAUGGAUAGGGCUAUAUCGUAUCAGCUAGUUGGUAAGGUAAUGGCUUACCAAGGCUAUGACGCGUAACUGGUCUGAGAGGAUGAUCAGUCACACUGGAACUGAGACACGGUCCAGACUCCUACGGGAGGCAGCAGUAGGGAAUAUUGCUCAAUUGGGGAAACCCUGAAGCAGCAACGCCGCGUGGAGGAUGACACUUUUCGGAGCGUAAACUCCUUUUCUUGGGAAAGAAUUAUGACGGUACCCAAGGAAUAAGCACCGGCUAACUCCGUG